CGAUCAAUAAAGAGUGACUUUUCAUAUACCGAAUAAAAACUUCACAGACAUAACAAAAGUGAUCCAAAACCAGUCGGAAAAACUAUACAAACCAGGCGUGAAUAUUUUAGGUUUGGUCUUUGCCUCAUUUAUAUGUAAUACGAUGUUCUCGGCACGUUCCCUUGCAAAUAAUUAUAGGAGUUGCUGCCGUUACUCUAAAGACUUAACCCGAAGUCUCCACUUGGAAAAAUGUUAUAAAAAUGAGCGAAAUGUUCAUGGAUACACUACAAGCACUACUACUAAGUCGUCGUUGAAUGCUGCGAUGAAACUAUUGAAGCUUUUUCAUCUUACUGUCAAAACUUUCUCAUGCUGUUUUAUCAAAUGUCCCUCUCAACCAAAGUCUAUAUAGCACAUAGGUAGAGUCACCCAGAACAAGACGAUCCUGAAGGAUCAGGGAUAAGAUUUUAUAGGCGGAAUUAAACGCCGUAACACCCCUUUCGUCAUUGCAGUCCAGCCCGUCUCCUUUCUUGUAUCGUGCAACUCUAAACGUGCUCCUCCGUUCAGGACCGGUUCAGCUGCUAUUUCGUGAGUUCCGGAUUUCCACCCAAACCCGGGGGCUACCGGGUGGUGUUGCCACGGCGUGUUGGGAGUAUAUUUUAUGCACAGGAAUUAUUUAA